rnacentral:rRNA from 1 species
GACGAACGCUGGCGGCGUGCUUAACACAUGCAAGUCGAGCGGUAAGGCCUUUCGGGGUACACGAGCGGCGAACGGGUGAGUAACACGUGGGUGAUCUGCCCUGCACUUCGGGAUAAGCCUGGGAAACUGGGUCUAAUACCGGAUAUGACCUCCUAUCGCAUGGUGGGUGGUGGAAAGAUUUAUCGGUGCAGGAUGGGCCCGCGGCCUAUCAGCUCGUUGGUGGGGUAAUGGCCUACCAAGGCGACGACGGGUAGCCGACCUGAGAGGGUGACCGGCCACAAUGGGACUGAGACACGGCCCAGACUCCUACGGGAGGCAGCAGUGGGGAAUAUUGCACAAUGGGCGAAAGCCUGAUGCAGCGACGCCGCGUGAGGGAUGACGGCCUUCGGGUUGUAAACCUCUUUCAGCAGGGACGAAGCGCAAGUGACGGUACCUGCAGAAGAAGCACCGGCUAACUACGUG